GUUGCCUUGGGCAGCCUGGAAUCCUUGUCAUUGUUUUCAUAAUUGAUAUAGGGUUUGAUAAGUGAUAUAACCAUCCCUAAUGGUCUGAUUAUCCACAGAGGUUAUUCUGAGGGGAGUGGCACAUGGAAUGGGGAGGAGGUGUUUGUCUUGAAGAACACACAUUCCCUGAGUAGUCAGCCAGUGUGGUUGAAGCAGCCUCUCUGAACAUAUUACCAUGUAUCACGGUAUGUUUGAGAAUGGAGGAUAAAGUCAUCAUCCAGGACAUCUUGCACCCCAACCAUAGCCUACUCAUUCUUCUCCCAUUUGGGAGGCAUGCCAGGAGCAUUAACUAUCAUACUGGUGGCCCAUGGAACAGAUUCCUCCUCGGCAGUUCCUAAACUAGGCAUGAGCAUCAGAAGCAAGAGAAACCAAGAGAAACCACAUUAACUUUAAUACUACCUAGCAAGAGAAACCACAGCAAGAGAAACCACAUUAACUCUAAUACUACCUAGCCAUCAGUAUCCAAAUAUAGCAUCAGCAUAACAUUAGGGAAAAUGAACAUCCAUUCAGGCCAACAAACAAAAAUAAAACCGUAAUAAAUAUAAAACAAAAAUAAAAGUUAUAUCAUGUCCAUUGUCCCUUCUAUUUAUGGAUGUUUUUUGCUAUAAAAUGUUAGUGUACA